UACGUAGGGUCCGAGCGUUGUCCGGAAUUACUGGGCGUAAAGAGCUCGUAGGCGGUGUGUCGCGUCGGUCGUGAAAACUUGGGGCUUAACCCUGAGCUUGCGGUCGAUACGGGCAUCACUGGAGUUCGGCAGGGGAGACUGGAAUUCCUGGUGUAGCGGUGAAAUGCGCAGAUAUCAGGAGGAACACCGGUGGCGAAGGCGGGCCUCUGGGCCGAUACUGACGCUGAGGAGCGAAAGCGUGGGGAGCGAACAGG
rnacentral:rRNA from 1 species